AGUCGAGCUCAAUUAGGUAAAGCCUAAACUGACACUGCAUCAUUUCACAAUUUUACAUCCUCCAGAGUCGACUCCAAGAACUCUUCUCCAAAACUCAGUGCUUUCCAUUAAUUCCUGACUCUUCACAAGUUCACCUAAAUUUCUUUCCACUCAUUCCAACUCUUUUUCCACAUAAUCUAAUUCUCCUAUUUUAAUUUCAAAAAAAACAAUAAAAUUCCUUCAAUUAUUUGUCUCUCAGAUCUCAAAGCAUACCAUCUUAGUUGCACAGAUCCCAAAGCCUCAUUCCUUCUCAGCCGUGGGCAACAUUCUAGCUUCCACGUCACCUCCCAGCUUAACAAAA
rnacentral:lncRNA from 1 species